rnacentral:rRNA from 1 species
UACGUAGGGGGCAAGCGUUGUCCGGAAUCAUUGGGCGUAAAGCGCGUGUAGGCGGCUUGGUAAGUCUGCUCUGAAAGCCCGGGGCUCAACCCUGGGAGGCGGGUGGAUACUGCUGAGCUCGAGUCCGGAAGAGGCGAGUGGAAUUCCUGGUGUAGCGGUGAAAUGCGCAGAUAUCAGGAGGAACACCAAUGGCGAAGGCAGCUCGCUGGGACGGUACUGACGCUGAGGAGCGAAAGCCAGGGGAGCAAACGGG